rnacentral:rRNA from 1 species
GACGUAGGGAGCGAGCGUUGUCCGGAUUCAUUGGGCGUAAAGCGCGCGUAGGCGGCCGCGCAAGUCGGUUGUGAAAUCCCGGGGCUCAACCCCGGGACUGCGUCCGAUACUGCGUGGCUCGAGGCAGGUAGGGGAGAUCGGAAUUCCUGGUGUAGCGGUGAAAUGCGCAGAUAUCAGGAGGAACACCGGUGGCGAAGGCGGAUCUCUGGGCCUGUCCUGACGCUCAGGCGCGAAAGCUAGGGGAGCGAACAGG